AGUGAACGGACGUGUUGUGCGAUACUAUUUUCAGCACUAACGGGCUUUUACACGAUAUUAAUAUCAGAAAGGUAGCAUUUACAUAUGGAGAUACAUAUCGUCCAUAUGCAUACAGCAGUAGUACAAGUGUAUGGUUAGAAUACGCAUACGCUCUAGGAAACCACGCGUGUUAAAUGGAAAUGAAGGUUCAUUUAUACUGGCAUGUAUACACAGCAGCAAGCUCAUGCCACCAACAGCGAUGUCGUAUGCAUAACAUUUCUACUGGGUAUACUUACUUGCUUAUACUCAUACAAAUACAUACCAUUAAGUCCACAAUAGUCGGAGCAACAUUAGCACAAAUGCCAAUGCUUUUCAAAAAAGCAAAUCAGUCAUUAUUCUUACGGCAAACGCUGAAGAACACGGUGUGCCUAAGUCAAACGGUUUUAUGUAGCAGAAACGUCCAGUUUUACUAAUCUCAUCGCAUUUAAGACAAUCACAUGCAGUACAGAAAUUGUAAAUACGCAAUUUUGUAUAUAAACUGAACAGAAGGAGUACACAUACUUAUGUACGCAUGUAUAUUUAGUUAAAAAGUACAAUCAUGCGAAUAAAUACUAUUUACAAGUAUAAAUAAUCGUAAAAAAACACAAUUUUUUGCUGCGAACUCUUCUAAACUAUAUUUAAUUAGUUAAAAAAACAUAGCCACAUAUGUAUGUAUGUAUAUAUAAAUGGAAGUAUUAAAACAACAAAUCGCUCUAUAUAUAUUAAAACGUGCAAAGACUAAAGGAGAUUUUCACAGCUAUUGGAGGAGAAUGUAAUACAAUAAAUUUAUUCGCGUGCUUAUGCUUAUCAAUGCAAGUUCUUAUAAAAAAGGCAAACGAAAAAGGCGAGCGAAGCGGAAAUAACGUACAUCAAGUAAAGCACUAGAAGUGCUCGAAUUUCUCUGAAAAUGCACCUGCUCAAUAGUCAUUUGGACUUUUUUCCACCGAAUUUGGGAGCUGAGAGCGACGAACAAGGCGAAAGAUUUCACCAGGGCAUUGCAACAAUCGAAAAGCGGUAUGAAGGUUUCUGGGAUCAGGCCAUGAUGGGCGACUAUUGUUGGAUGCAACUUCGAGAAGACAGAAUGGAACACGACGAAACGAAGAAGUUUGAGAGAAAAAUCAUAUUUUCGACCUGAACUAACUUCUACAUUUCUUCUUCGAUCGCAGCAAUAUUUAGCUUAAAUUGUAUGUGACAGAAUUGUCUUCAAAUUGUUAUCAUAUAUAUCUGCAUUAAAAAUUUUUAUCUUAUGAAAAAAAACAAUAAACCUCAUUCAUUUCCAAAAAGGCUCAAAAAAUGACAAU
rnacentral:misc_RNA from 1 species